GAUGAACGCUAGCGGCAGGCCUAACACAUGCAAGUCGAGGGGUAGAGGAAGCUUGCUUCCUUGAGACCGGCGCACGGGUGCGUAACGCGUAAGCAAUCUACCUUAUACAGAGGGAUAGCCCAGAGAAAUUUGGAUUAAUACCUCAUAGUAUUAUGAAAUCGCAUGGUUUUAUAAUUAAAGUUCCAACGGUAUAAGAUGAGCAUGCGUCCCAUUAGUUAGUUGGUAAGGUAACGGCUUACCAAGACAAUGAUGGGUAGGGGUCCUGAGAGGGAGAUCCCCCACACCGGUACUGAGACACGGACCAGACUCCUACGGGAGGCAGCAGUGAGGAAUAUUGGUCAAUGGACGCAAGUCUGAACCAGCCAUGCCGCGUGCAGGAUGACGGUCCUAUGGAUUGUAAACUGCUUUUAUACAGGAAGAAACACUCCCUCGUGAGGGAACUUGACGGUACUGUAGGAAUAAGGAUCGGCUAACUCCGUGCCAGCCGCCGCGGUAAUAC
rnacentral:rRNA from 1 species